AGGGGUAGCAGGGUAGCAAUACCGCUGACGACCGGCAAACGGGUGCGGAACACGUACACAACCUUCCUUUUAGUGGGGAAUAGCCCAGAGAAAUUUGGAUUAAUACCCCGUAAGAUAUUAGAACGGCAUCGUUUAGAUAUUAUAGGUUUACCGCUAAGAGAUGGGUGUGCGGCUGAUUAGGUAGUUGGCGGAGUAACAGCCCACCAAGCCAACGAUCAGUAGCUGAUGUGAGAGCAUGAUCAGCCACACGGGCACUGAGACACGGGCCCGACUCCUACGGGAGGCAGCAGUAAGGAAUAUUGGACAAUGGACGCAAGUCUGAUCCAGCUAUGCCGCGUGAAGGAUUAAGGCCCUCUGGGUUGUAAACUUCUUUUAUAGGGGACGAAAAAAGGGCUUUCUAGCUCGACUGACGGUACCCUAUGAAUAAGCACCGGCUAACUCCGUGCCAGCAGCCGCGGUAAUACGGAGGGUGCAAGCGUUAUCCGGAUUCACUGGGUUUAAAGGGUGCGUAGGCGGGCAGUUAAGUCAGUGGUGAAAUCUUCGAGCUCAACUCGGAAACUGCCAUUGAUACUAUCUGUCUUGAAUA
rnacentral:rRNA from 1 species